UGGGGAAUAUUGGACAAUGGGCGAAAGCCUGAUCCAGCCAUGCCGCGUGUGUGAAGAAGGUCUUCGGAUUGUAAAGCACUUUAAGUUGGGAGGAAGGGCAGUAAGCGAAUACCUUGCUGUCUUGACGUUACCGACAGAAUAAGCACCGGCUAACUCUGUGCCAGCAGCCGCGGUAAUACAGAGGGUGCAAGCGUUAAUCGGAAUUACUGGGCGUAAAGCGCGCGUAGGUGGUUCGUUAAGUUGAAUGUGAAAGCCCCGGGCUCAACCUGGGAACUGCAUCCAAAACUGGCGAGCUAGAGUAGGGCAGAGGGUGGUGGAAUUUCCUGUGUAGCGGUGAAAUGCGUAGGUAUAGGAAGGAACACCAGUGGCGAAGGCGACCACCUGGGCUCGUACUGACACUGAGGUGCGAAAGCGUGGGGAGCAAACAGG
rnacentral:rRNA from 1 species